rnacentral:rRNA from 1 species
UACGUAGGGUGCAAGCGUUAAUCGGAAUUACUGGGCGUAAAGCGUGCGCAGGCGGCUUUGCAAGACAGAUGUGAAAUCCCCGGGCUUAACCUGGGAACUGCAUUUGUGACUGCAUGGCUGGAGUGCGGCAGAGGGGGAUGGAAUUCCGCGUGUAGCAGUGAAAUGCGUAGAUAUGCGGAGGAACACCGAUGGCGAAGGCAAUCCCGUGGGCCUGCACUGACGCUAAUGCACGAAAGCGUGGGGAGCAAACAGG